CUAUGGACGGGAAUAACCUCGGGAAACUGAGAAUAAUGCCCGAUAGAACAUUAUGCCUGGAAUGGUUUAUGUUCCAAAUGAUUUAUCGCCGUAGGAUGGGACUGCGGCCUAUCAGUUUGUUGGUGAGGUAAUGGCCCACCAAGACUAUUACAGGUACGGGCUCUGAGAGGAGUAGCCCGGAGAUGGGUACUGAGACACGGACCCAGGCCCUAUGGGGCGCAGCAGGCGAGAAAACUUUGCAAUGCGCGAAAGCACGACAAGGUUAAUCCGAGUGGUUUCUGCUAAAGGAACCUUUUGUCGGUCCUAGAAACACCGAUGAAUAAGGGGUGGGCAAGUUCUGGUGUCAGCCGCCGCGGUAAAACCAGCACCUCAAGUGGUCAGGAUGAUUAUUGGGCCUAAAGCAUCCGUAGCCUGCUUUGUUAGUUUUCGGUUAAAUCUGUACGCUCAACGUACAGGCUGCCGGGAAUACUGCAAAGCUAGGGAGUGGGAGAGGUAGACGGUACUCGGUAGGAAGGGGUAAAAUCCUUUGAUCUAUUGAUGACCACCUGUGGCGAAGGCGGUCUACCAGAACACGUCCGACGGUGAGGGAUGAAAGCUGGGGGAGCAAACCGGAUUAGAUACCCGGGUAGUCCCAGCCGUAAACCAUGCAAACUCAGUGAUGCAUUGGCUUGAUGCCAAUGCAGUGCUGCAGGGAAGCCGUUAAGUUUGCCGCCUGGGAAGUACGUACGCAAGUAUGAAACUU
rnacentral:rRNA from 1 species